UACGUAGGGGGCGAGCGUUGUCCGGAUUUACUGGGCGUAAAGGGUGCGUAGGCGGCGCGGUAAGUCGGGUGUGAAAUCUCGGAGCUUAACUCCGAAACUGCAUUCGAUACUGCCGUGCUUGAGGACUGGAGAGGAGACUGGAAUUUACGGUGUAGCGGUGAAAUGCGUAGAUAUCGUAAGGAAGACCAGUGGCGAAGGCGGGUCUCUGGACAGUUCCUGACGCUGAGGCACGAAGGUCAGGGGAGCAAACGGG
rnacentral:rRNA from 1 species